GAUGAAGAACGUAGCGAAAUGCGAUAAGUAAUGUGAAUUGCAGAAUUCAGUGAAUCAUCGAAUCUUUGAACGCACCUUGCGCCCUUUGGCCAUUCCGAAGGGCAUGCCUGUUUGAGUAUCAUGAACACCUCAACUCUUCAUGGUUUUCCGUGAUGAGCUUGGACUUUGGGGGUCUUGCUGGCCUAUGGUCAGCUCCUCUAAAAUAAAUCAGCUUGCCAGUGUUUGGUGGGUAUCACAGGUGUGAUAACUAUCUACGCUUGUGGUUUUACACCAGGUAACCUUCAGCAGUGGAGGUUCGCUGGAGCUCACAGAUGUGUCUCUCCUCAGUGAGGACAGCUCUUUGAAUGUUUGAUCUCAAAUCAGGUAGGACUACCCGCUGAACUUAAGCAUAUCAAUAAGCGGAGGA
rnacentral:misc_RNA from 1 species